UAUCAAGCACCUAAGGUGAUGGGUGGAUGGUUAGGCUCUCAGAGGCGAUGAAGGACGUGCCAAGCUGCGAAAAGCCAGGGCGAGCUGCACCGAAGCGAUGACCCCUGGAUGUCCGAAUGGGGCAACCCACUAUGGCGAACCCAUAGUAUCCCGCAAGGGAAGCCAACGUGGUGAAUUGAAACAUCUUAGUAACCACAGGAAAAGAAAUCGACGAGAUUCCGCCAGUAGCGGCGAGCGACAACGGAAGAGGCCAAACCAGGGAGCUUGCUCCCUGGGGUUGUAGGACCGCGUUUAAGACCAGCAGAUCGAGCCGAAGCACCUGGAAAGGUGCCCCGCAGCGGGUGAUAGGCCCGUAGGCGUAGACGAGCUGGCUGAGCGGUAUCCUGAGUAGUGCAUGGCUCGUGAAACUGUGCAUGAAUCCGGGGCGACCACGCUCCAAGCCUAAAUACUCCUGAGAGACCGAUAGUGAACGAGUAGCGUGAGCGAACACUGAAAAGCACCCCUGGCGGGGAGUGAAACAGAUCCUGAAACCCAUCACGUACAAGCAGUUGUGGACCGAUGCCGCAAGGCCGGUUUGCAGCGUGCCUUUUGCAUAAUGACCCAGCGACUUACCGUUAGCGGCAAGCUUAAGGGCGAGAAGCCUGGAGGCGUAGCGAAAGCGAGUGUGAAGAGCGCGCCGAGUCGUUAGCGGUAGACCCGAAACCCGGUGAUCUAGCCAUGUGCAGGUUGAAGUGGGGGUGAAACCCCAUGGAGGACCGAACAGAUAGACCUUGAGAAGUCUCCUGAUGACAUGUGGCUGGGAGCAAAAGACUAAUCAAACCGGGAGAUAUCUGGUUCUCCUCGAAAUAUAUUUAGGUAUAGGCUUGGGAGUUUCCAUGUGGGGGUAGAGCACUGAAAGGACUAGGGGCCUUACCGGGUUACCAAAUCCUAUCAAACUCCGAAUACUACAUGGCGUAUCCCAGGGCUCAGACAGCGAGCUAGAACGUCCGUUGUCAAAAGGGAAAGAACCCAGACCAACAGCUAAGGUCCCUAAAGCAUGCCAAGUGGUAAAGGAAGUGUUUGUGCUGAGACAGCCGGGAUGUUGGCUUAGAAGCAGCCAUCAUUUAAAGAGUGCGUAACAGCUCACCGGUCGAUGCACGAACGCGCCGAAAAUAACCGGGGCUCAAGCAUGCUACCGAAGCUUUGGCUGCACAUCUCCCUGCGGGGAGCUGUGCGGGGUAGGGGAGCGUUGAGUGCAGGCUGAAGGUACACGGCAACGAGUACUGGACAGCACUCAAGAGAUUAUGCUGGGAUGAGUAACGAUCAACAAGGUGAGAAUCCUUGUCGCCGUAAGCCUACGGUUUCCUCCGCCAGGCAAGUCCGCGGAGGGUUAGGCGGGAGCUAAGGCGAGGCCGACAGGCGUAGCUGAUGCACAGCCGGUUCAUAUUCCGGCCCUCCCAUACAGGUGCCUACGAGGGACGCAGACGAUAAUCGUGGUGGAGCCUGAAGUGGGCCCACGCAGGUAUCGGGAUUGCCGCUUUGAAAGAUGCGGUGCACCCCCGGUAUCGGCCAAACGCCUUGAGCGAUAUAGGCACGAUGAAGGGCUGUCGAGAAAAGCUCGUCAGGAGAUAACGUGUAUGGGAUCCGUACUCAAACCGACACAGGUGGGCGAGGCGAGUAGCCUCAGGUGCUCGAGAGAACUCUGGUUAAGGAACUCGGCAAAUUCACCCCGUAACUUCGGGAGAAGGGGUGCCGGCGCAAGCCGGCCGCAGUGAAGAGGCCCAACCGACUGUUUACUAAAAACACAGUUCUGUGCGAAGGCGCAAGCCGAUGUAUACGGAAUGAUGCCUGCCCGGUGCUGGAAGGUCAAAGGGAGGAGUCAGCGCAAGCGAAGCCCCGAACUCAAGCCCCAGUAAACGGCGGCCGUAACUAUGACGGUCCUAAGGUAGCGAAAUUCCUUGUCGGGUAAGUUCCGACCUGCAUGAAAGGCAUAACGAGUUGGGCACUGUCUCAACCAGAGACUCGGUGAAAUUGCAAUAUCGGCGAAGAUACCGAUUACCCGCAGCAGGACGAAAAGACCCCGUGAACCUUAACUGCAGCCUGAUGCUGUGUUUCUGUGAUUCGUGCGUAGCAUAGGUGGGAGACGUUGAUCUGCCGGUUCCGGUCGGCAGGGAGUCAUCAGUGAAAUACCACUCUCGAAUCAUGGGAAUUCUAACCUGCGCUGUGCAAGCGCGGAGACCCCGUCAGGCGGGCAGUUUGGCUGGGGCGGCUUCCUCCCAAAGCGUAACGGAGGGGCACCAAGGUCGGCUCAGUACGGUUGGCAAUCGUACGAGGAGUGUAAGGGCACAAGCCGGCUUAACUGCGAGUCCGAUCAGACGAGCAGAUGCGAAAGCAGGUCCUAGUGAUCCGGUGGUCCCUUGUGGACGGGCCAUCGCUCAACAGAUAAAAGGUACUCCGGGGAUAACAGGCUGAUCUGGCCCAAGAGUCCCUAUCGACGGCCAGGUUUGGCACCUCGAUGUCGGCUCAUCGCAUCCUGGGGCUGGAGAAGGUCCCAAGGGUAUAGCUGUUCGCUAUUUAAAGCGGUACGCGAGCUGGGUUUAAACCGUCGUGAGACAGGUUGGUUUCUAUCCGCUGUGGGCGCAGGACGAUUGAUGGGACCUGACAUUAGUACGAGAGGAUUAUGUUGGACGUACCGCUGGUGUACCGGUUGUUCCACUCGGAGCAGUGCCGGGUAGCUACGUACGGACGGGAUAAACGCUGAAAGCAUCUAAGCGUGAAGCCCACCCAGAGAUGAAUCGUCCCUAUGACUGUCCUGGUAGACCACCAGGUGAUAGGCCGGAGGUGUACGCCCGUAUAUCUAAAGGGGCUGAGCUGACCGGUACUAAUCGCAGCAUUGGCUUGGUCGU
rnacentral:rRNA from 1 species